ensembl:misc_RNA Metazoa_SRP Metazoan signal recognition particle RNA
GCUGGGCGUGGUGGCGCACGCCUGUAGUCCCAGCUACUUGGGAGGCUGAGGCAGGAGAAUUGCUUGAACCCAGGAGGCGGAGGCUGCAGUAAGCUGAGAUCCCGCCAUUGCACUCCAGCCUGGGAAACAAGAGCGAAACUCCGUCUCAAAAAAGAAAAAAAAAAAGUCUUUGUGGCCAGGCUGGAGUACAGUGGGGCAAUCUCAGCUCACUGCAACCUCAGCCUCCUGAGUUCAAGCGAUUCUACUGUCUU